UUGAUCAAGAACUUAGGCUACCAAGUAUGUUAUUUAGUUAUAUUCAGACGUAUAUUCAGACGCAUAUAGCCCAUGUUGCCAUUUUCCUUUAACUUGUGUUUUUUGCGGUUGUUAAAGACAAUUUAAUCAUCAGUGACAACUUCUGUGUUACCAGUUCUAUCUAUUCAGAAUGUCAGUGUUUUAUCAUCUGAAUACUGAAUACGUUUUUGGACAUCUUCGCAAGGUUGCUAUUAACAAUAUAGUCUGGCUGACCUAUUUGUUCAGCGUGGAAGUCUAUAAGUCUUAAAUAUUACUCUGCCCUCGCUGUUUUUCAUUCUUCUCCAGCUCUGAUUAUGCUGGUCCUCAAAAUAAAUACUUGUUCUCAAGUUAAUUUUACCACUGGGGCCUCGACUGUUCCCAGCUGUCCCUCCUCCCAUCCACUCUUGAACUGGUCCCUGACCAUACAUGGUCUUAGUUGAAGAAAGCGGCAGGCCAAGAGAGCUAGGAAGAAGUGAUCUGCCACUCAUACAAGCCUGUGUGUGAAAGGGAGGACUCGGUAGCGCUGGCCAUGUUACUCCCCCACCGCAGAAAUUUACACUGUAAUAGUGUAGAGCUAAAAAUAGGUACCAGAUGUCUGUCUGAGCUGCCACACUUUCUCAGGCAACAGAGGUGAAGCAUGGAACGUGUGGAAAUUCCCCUCCAGAAAUCCACUGACAGCACCGGUCUAGGUUGGACCCAGUGGUGUUCAUUAUCAGCUUCAUUAUCAAACUGAAGGGCAUCAGAUGAUGUGUGCAGACUGUCUUACACAUGAUGCAUGUCAAACUAGGACACAAUUCCCCAAUGUCACUUAGCACUUUAAAGACUACAGAGAAGGAGAGGGGGAAGGUUAGUGCGUCUGCUCUGUGAAAUAUUGUCAUGAAUCGCUCCUGACUCUUGACUCCACGGCUCACCUUACAGAUGUGGUUUCUGCUGAAUUCUAACGGCGGGUCAGUACAUCAGGAGGAAGGCCGACGAAGAGUAACUGGAACUCUAAAUACAAAUAAAUCUCAACCGUAUCAGAAAACAAGGCUUAUUGGAAAGACAUAAAUCAUUCCUAGGAAAAUGGAUGGAUUUAUUUUUUCUCAACCAACCUUGAGCUCAUCUAAUGUAUGAUUUAAAGACAUGUUUCCUGUUAUGACAAUCACCGUCGAAAAGCAUUACAUGGUCUGGUA